CUGCUAUCGGAUUGAUACUAAGCCAUGCGAGUCAUUGUAGCAAUACAAGGCAUACGGCUCAGUAACGCGUAGUCAACCUAACCUAUGGACGGGAAUAACCUCGGGAAACUGAGAAUAAUGCCCGAUAGAACAUUAUGCCUGGAAUGGUUUAUGUUCCAAAUGAUUUAUCGCCGUAGGAUGGGACUGCGGCCUAUCAGUUUGUUGGUGAGGUAAUGGCCCACCAAGACUAUUACAGGUACGGGCUCUGAGAGGAGUAGCCCGGAGAUGGGUACUGAGACACGGACCCAGGCCCUAUGGGGCGCAGCAGGCGAGAAAACUUUGCAAUGUGCGAAAGCACGACAAGGUUAAUCCGAGUGGUUUCUGCUAAAGGAACCUUUUGUCAGUCCUAGAAACACUGAUGAAUAAGGGGUGGGCAAGUUCUGGUGUCAGCCGCCGCGGUAAAACCAGCACCUCAAGUGGUCAGGAUGAUUAUUGGGCCUAAAGCAUCCGUAGCCGGCUCUGUAAGUUUUCGGUUAAAUCUGUACGCUCAAACGUACAGGCUGCCGGGAAUACUGCAAAGCUAGGGAGUGGGAGAGGUAGACGGUACUCGGUAGGAAGGGGUAAAAUCCUUUGAUCUAUUGAUGACCACCUGUGGCGAAGGCGGUCUACCAGAACACGUCCGACGGUGAGGGAUGAAAGCUGGGGGAGCAAACCGGAUUAGAUACCCGGGUAGUCCCAGCUGUAAACCAUGCAAACUCAGUGAUGCAUUGGCUUGUGGCCAAUGCAGUGCUGCAGGGAAGCCGUUAAGUUUGCCGCCUGGGAAGUACGUACGCAAGUAUGAAACUUAAAGGAAUUGGCGGGGGAGCACCACAAGGGGUGAAGCCUGCGG
rnacentral:rRNA from 1 species